rnacentral:tRNA from 1 species
GGGCCUGUAGCUCAGUUGGUAGAGCGCCACGUUUACACCGUGGAUGUCGUCGGUUCGAGCCCGGCCGGGCCCACCG